UGCAGGUUCACGGCCUGGAGAAAAGCAAAUGGGAUAAAGUGCAGAUAGUCGACAUCGACAUCGCUGACAAAAGUAGCAUCAGUCCAAAGGAUUACAACCCAGAACACGAUCCGGCCAUCUUCAAGUCGGU